CUACGGAGGAUGCAAGCGUUAUCCGGAUUUAUUGGGUUUAAAGGGUGCGUAGGCGGUUUGCUAAGCGGGAGGUGAAAUGCCGGCGCUCAACGUCGGAAGUGCCUCCCGAACUGGUGGACUUGAAUGACUCUGCCGUGGGAGGAAUGUGUAGUGUAGCGGUGAAAUGCUUAGAGAUUACACAGAACACCGAUUGCGAAGGCAUCUCACGAAGGGUUGAUUGACGCUGAGGCACGAAAGCGUGGGGAUCAAACAGGAUUAGAUACCCUGGUAGUCCACGCAGUAAACGAUGAUGGCUAACCGCUGGGCUUAUCAGUUCAGUGGCCAAGCGAAAGCGAUAAGCCAUCCACCUGGGGAGUACGACCGCAAGGUUGAAACUCAAAGGAAUUGGCGGGG
rnacentral:rRNA from 1 species